rnacentral:rRNA from 1 species
AGAGUUUGAUCAUGGCUCAGAAUGAACGCUGGCGGCGUGCCUAACACAUGCAAGUCGAGCGAGAAAUCACACUUCGGUGUGAGAGUAGAGCGGCGCACGGGUGAGUAACGCGUGGAUAAUCUACCCAUGGAUUGGGGAUAACCCUGCGAAAGCGGGGCUAAUACCUGAUAGACUGGUCAUUAUAUAGAUGAUCGGUAAAGGUGGCCUCUGAUACAAGCUACUGUCCGUGGAUGAGUCCGCGUCUCAUUAGCUGGUUGGUGGGGUAAUGGCCUACCAAGGCGACGAUGAGUAGCUGGUCUGAGAGGAUGAUCAGCCACACUGGGACUGGAACACGGCCCAGACUCCUACGGGAGGCAGCAGUGGGGAAUAUUGGGCAAUGGGCGCAAGCCUGACCCAGCAACGCCGUGUG